rnacentral:rRNA from 1 species
AAACCAGCACCUCAAGUGGUCAGGAUGAUUAUUGGGCCUAAAGCAUCCGUAGCCUGCUCUGUAAGUUUUCGGUUAAAUCUGUACGCUCAACGUACAGGCUGUCGGGAAUACUGCAGAGCUAGGGAGUGGGAGAGGUAGACGGUACUCGGGAGGAAGUGGUAAAAUGCUUUGAUCUCUCGAUGACCACCUGUGGCGAAGGCGGUCUAUCAGAACACGUCCGACGGUGAGGGAUGAAAGCUGGGGGAGCAAACCGGAUUAGAAACCCCGGUAGUCC